rnacentral:rRNA from 1 species
UUGGAGGGCAAGUCUGGUGCCAGCAGCCGCGGUAAUUCCAGCUCCAAUAGCGUAUAUUAAAGUUGUUGCAGUUAAAAAGCUCGUAGUUGAAUUUCGGAAUCUGUCCAUUGGUCGGGCUUCACUGUCCGUACUGGUGUGGUGGGUUCUUACCUUCUGAAUAACCAGCAUGCCAUUCAUUUGGUGCGUUGGGGAAGCAGGACUAUUACCUUGAAAAAAUUAGAGUGCUCAAAGCAGGCUAGUGCCUGAAUACAUUAGCAUGGAAUAAUAAAAUAGGACGGCAUGGUUCUAUUUUGUUGGUUUCUAGGAUCACCGUAAUGAUUAAUAGGGAUAGUUGGGGGCAUUAGUAUUCAAUUGUCAGAGGUGAAAUUCUUGGAUUUAUUGAAGACUAACUUCUGCGAAAGCAUUUGCCAAGGAUGUUUUCAUUAAUCAAGAACGAAAGUUAGGGGAUCGAAGACGAUCAGAUACCGUCGUAGUCUUAACCAUAAACUAUGCCGACUAGGGAUCGGACGAUGUUAAUUUUUUAAUGACUCGUUCGGCGCCUUACGGGAAAC